CCAAGGCGCUUGAGAGAACUCGGGUGAAGGAACUAGGCAAAAUGGUGCCGUAACUUCGGGAGAAGGCACGCUGAUAUGUAGGUGAAGCGACUUGCUCGUGGAGCUGAAAUCAGUCGAAGAUACCAGCUGGCUGCAACUGUUUAUUAAAAACACAGCACUGUGCAAACACGAAAGUGGACGUAUACGGUGUGACGCCUGCCCGGUGCCGGAAGGUUAAUUGAUGGGGUUAGCGGUAACGCGAAGCUCUUGAUCGAAGCCCCGGUAAACGGCGGCCGUAACUAUAACGGUCCUAAGGUAGCGAAAUUCCUUGUCGGGUAAGUUCCGACCUGCACGAAUGGCGUAAUGAUGGCCAGGCUGUCUCCACCCGAGACUCAGUGAAAUUGAACUCGCUGUGAAGAUGCAGUGUACCCGCGGCAAGACGGAAAGACCCCGUGAACCUUUACUAUAGCUUGACACUGAACAUUGAGCCUUGAUGUGUAGGAUAGGUGGGAGGCUUUGAAGUGUGGACGCCAGUCUGCAUGGAGCCGACCUUGAAAUACCACCCUUUAAUGUUUGAUGUUCUAACGUUGGCCCGUAAUCCGGGUUGCGGACAGUGUCUGGUGGGUAGUUUGACUGGGGCGGUCUCCUCCUAAAGAGUAACGGAGGAGCACGAAGGUUGGCUAAUCCUGGUCGGACAUCAGGAGGUUAGUGCAAUGGCAUAAGCCAGCUUGACUGCGAGCGUGACGGCGCGAGCAGGUGCGAAAGCAGGUCAUAGUGAUCCGGUGGUUCUGAAUGGAAGGGCCAUCGCUCAACGGAUAAAAGGUACUCCGGGGAUAACAGGCUGAUACCGCCCAAGAGUUCAUAUCGACGGCGGUGUUUGGCACCUCGAUGUCGGCUCAUCACAUCCUGGGGCUGAAGUAGGUCCCAAGGGUAUGGCUGUUCGCCAUUUAAAGUGGUACGCGAGCUGGGUUUAGAACGUCGUGAGACAGUUCGGUCCCUAUCUGCCGUGGGCGCUGGAGAACUGAGGGGGGCUGCUCCUAGUACGAGAGGACCGGAGUGGACGCAUCACUGGUGUUCGGGUUGUCAUGCCAAUGGCACUGCCCGGUAGCUAAAUGCGGAAGAGAUAAGUGCUGAAAGCAUCUAAGCACGAAACUUGCCCCGAGAUGAGUUCUCCCUGACUCCUUGAGAGUCCUGAAGGAACGUUGAAGACGACGACGUUGAUAGGCCGGGUGUGUAAGCGCAGCGAUGCGUUGAGCUAACCGGUACUAAUGAACCGUGAGGCUUAACCUU
rnacentral:rRNA from 1 species